GGGCGUCAGGCUGAUGCAGCGACGCCGCGUGGGGGAUGACGGCCUUCGGGUUGUAAACCUCUUUUACCACCAACGCUGGUUCCACGUUUUCGUGGGGUUGACGGUGGGUGGGGAAUAAGGACCGGCUAACUACGUGCCAGGGGGCGCGGUAAUACCUAAGGUACGAGCGUUGUCCGGAAUUAUUGGGCGUAAACAGCUCGUAGGCGAAAUGUCGCGUCUGCUGUGAAAGACCGGGGCUUAACUCCGGUUCUGCAAUGGAUACAGACAUGCUAGAGGUAGGUAGGGGAAACUGGAAUUCCUGGUGUAGCGGUGAAAUGCCCAUAUAUCAGGAGGAACACCGGUGGCGAACGCGGGUUUCUGGGCCUUACCUGACGCUGAGGAGCGAAAGCAUGGCGAGCGAACAGGAUUACAUACCCUGGUAGUCCAUGCCGUAAACGUUGGGCGCUAGGUGUGGGGACUUUCCACGGUUUCCGCGCCCUACCUAACGCAUUAAGCGCCCCGCCUGGAGAGUACGGCGUUAAGGGGAAAACUCAAAGAUUUUGUCGGGGG
rnacentral:rRNA from 1 species